UCAUCAUCAUUCACUCCGAGCCAAGAUGGAAGAGAUGUCACUUCGCGAUUAGUGGUGGACCAAGUCAAAAUGAUGGAAAACUAGUACUUUUUGGGACCGCAGCCGGUUUCAGCAGUGCUUAUCGAGUGUUUCGAAGGUUUCCCCUGCCGCUAGGUGUCGAAAGUGUCCAGUGCGAAGUGGAAAGUGCAUAGGAAAAGUGAUUUUACGGUGGCCGUAUCGAAGGUGAAAAGUGAAUAUUAUAAUCAAGAUUCCGUAUUUCGCGAGUGUUGGCCUGAAGGCGAGGAUUCCAUUUUUCCUUUCCCGAGUCGCUCGGAACGGUGCGAAGGAGCAGGAAGAGAAGAGCCGUUUUUAAUUCUUCGUUGUGUGCGUGACAUAUUGCGACGGUGUUGCGCGUUCGGUGUAUUUUUUUUAUUCGAUCAUCAGUCGCCCGGUUUCUAGUGUUGGUGUGAUAUUCGAAACGCUUCACGGCAAAAAUCGCGAAUCAAAAAGGAGUUUUUUUUUCUCCUUUGAUUGGAAGUGUGAAAGGGUAGUUGAGUAGAAGAAGGAAAAAAAAGGGUGAAACACACAGAGGAAGAGAAUACGAAGCCCGAGGGGGAGGCGGUGAAGGAGGACGCGCAGUUAGCCGUCCGUCGAGUGAAGACGGGUUUUGGCCGUAGCGGUGUGGUCGUGCCGUCGUCGCCCGCCCGGUUGUCUUCAGCAGCUUCACACUGCCUGGUGAAGUGCUGGCUUUUAUACGGCUGAUUUUCGGAUUUUUUUUUUUGCUGCUGCUUGUGGUGCCUACUGACGACUCUGACUGUUUCCAAAACCAGUAGCCGCAGUAGCUCGGUAGAGUGGAUCGCGGAUUUGACAUCGCUGGCUCACAUAUGUAUUUGGAUACGAUCAGCAGCCUGUAGCAAUAACGCAGUAAACUGAUACGCAUAAUUGAAAAAUGGAUCACACGGAACGAAGGUGUAACCAUUCUUCUCAUAGAUGUGCCUUAGGAAUUUCAAGUGAACUGUCAGAACACUGAAUAAAGCACACAGCUGGCUAUCGCCUCCGUGUCAUCAUCAUCAUACAUCGUCUUCGAAAGCAUCCGAGAUAUAGGAACUGAGAGUGCGUGACAUAGAACACACAAGCCUAAACAGCACACACCCCCUCGAGAUAAAAACAGUGGAACGAUUUUUUUUACGCUUUCGCACGAAUCAUGCAAGAAGAUUGACGGAAGGAGCAAGCAAUUCGCUGCUAUAAGGAGAAAGAGAGCAUUACCGCAUCUAAUUGUCGCAGAUAAUCACACGUCUCACCGAGAGACAAAUCGAUACAACUACUUAGCUUUGUUCUUAGAUUUUUUCCUCUAAUUGUGAUUACGAUAGCCGCCGAUAGGGGGCUUGCACACAUCGGUUCAUUAAGAAAUAUAGAGUUUAGAAAUUCAAACAUUUCAUUGGAUAAACGAGUGAAGCGCAUCUUUGCUCUAGCAGCGCCGCCCACCCCCCAUAUGUUGGGGACAGCUAAGCCGAACGAACGGCUGAUAAGUUGGACUAAGCCAUCAUCAUCAUCACCACCACCAUCAUCGGUGCGAACGCAGUACUACUGCGGUGGUGCCGCGAGUGUGUUUGUAGCAACAGCAACAGAGCAAGUGGAAGUAGUGGUAGCGCGAAAACACUACCGACAACCGACGACGACGACGGCGGUAGUGUUGGUGCUGGUUCCAUUGGACCUGCCAUACAAUAAUGGACAGCAGCGAGGACAGCAUUGUGAUCUACCGAGCGACCGUCAGCUACACUUCCGCCAAUGCCGAAGAACUUAGCUACCAGAAAGAGGACAUCCUUGAGGUGUACGUCCCGAAAACGGCUACCGGUACAACGUUGGCUAGCAGCACUGGCGGCUGGUACAAAGCGAGCAACACACGCACCAAGAAGAAUGGUUAUGUGCAAUUGCAAAGCCUGCAACGCUGCAACGACAGUAGUACCAGUAGUAACAGCAACAGCAUGACAUCCCCAUCCGCUUCUCAUUACCUAUCGGUGACGGGUCUGGCAGGGGACACUUCCACUAGCAACGGUAGCAGCAACGUAGCCACCAGUAGUGGUAGCAACGGUAACGGUAGCACUACCAAUGGCGGCGAUCCAAGCGGCACCAUCGACGGUGCCCCGACGGUGGCCGCCGUAACGACCGUAGUGUCCACGAUGGCCAACCUCACGAUUACCAAGUCCUCCAAGGACAAUAACACCCUGGUGGUGAACAUGACACCGACGGUUGGGCACCAUCAUCAUCCCGGAGGCGGUGGAGGCGACCCGUACGCACUGGAGGAUAUCUACGUGCCGUGCGUGAACCCUAGCACCGGAGCGGGUUUGGUUAAUAAAGUGGAUGAAUUAAGUAAUAAAAACAUUAACAAAUGUCACACGACCGUACCUGUUUAUUUUGUAACUCCUAUUAUCUGUUUACUUUGUCGCGACUACAUCUGGGGGCUCGGACUGCAAGGACGACAGUGUAGACAAUGCUGGUCGUGUUUCCACAUCAAGUGCUUACCGCUAGCCGUUCACGAUAUGUGCCAAAGAAAUCCCGACGUUUAUCCGAAGAUGCCGGCCACCUACAGUACCGACAAGUCAAUUAACGAGUGGACGUCAGCGAACGUUUUGGAAUGGAUGGCUGCGAACAACCUGUACACCUACGCUGACGUGUUCAAAGCGAAAGAUAUAAAAGGCUGUGAUUUAUCGAACCUGGAUCGUGAUAAACUAGGACAAAUGGGUAUUAAAAAUGAAUUCCAUCAGCAAACAAUCCUAGCGUCCAUAAAGGAUUUGCUGACGAGUGCGGAGAAGCCUAUCCAAAGCGGUGGAACGAAUCGGACCACUAGCGGCGGCAUUGUGCUGAAGAUGGCCGGUGAAGACAGCGACGCGCCACUCGGCAGCAAGCACUCGCACGACCUAGUAGACCAUUCGUUCUUGAAGCUGGUUAAAUGUGAUAAGUGUCAGCAGUACUUGCGUGGGCUGAUACAUCAGGGAUUGCUAUGCAAGCAGUGUAAUCUCAUUGUCCACCGGCAGUGUUCGGCCACGGGACUUAAGCCGUGUACAGCAGACACUGGCAGUCGGACGACAACGACGACGACGGCGACGACAGCGCCGGUGGCGACGGUCAACCGAAUGCAACCGGUGUUUGGUUUGGGCCUGUGCCAUCAGUUCAAUGUGGCCGAACUGCCGGCCCCGCAAAUUGUCAUAAUACUCUGCAAUGAGCUCGAGCAGAAAGCGAUGAGUGACAAUAACCUAGAUCUAUACAAACUGUAUCGAACGACACCGCCCAACUACGAUGAGGUGACCAAACUGCGUGACUCGCUCAACGAGAACCUAAUCAACACCGAUCUCAGCAGCUACUCGCCCGAAUGCGUGGCCACGGUGCUGAAGAAGUUUCUCCGCGAGCUGCCCGAUCCGAUCAUUCCGGUUCUGUUCUACGACAAGUUUGUGGACGCCUCAAAGAUCAUCAGCGACGCGGUGGCGGUGGAACAGCUUCGGUUGCACAUCCAGGACCUCCCGGUCUAUCACAACAUGACGCUCAAGUACAUCAUGAUCCAUUUGAUACGAAUCUGUCGAAUGCAGUGCCAGCGGGGGAUCAAGGACCAACCGACGAUACUGAUACAAGUCUGGUGCCAUAUUCUGUUGCGUCCUCCCUGGGAGAAAAUUGUUCAAAUCGUGUACAACACGGAAAACCACCUGCGGAUAAUGGAACUGCUACUGUACAAGGUCGACUGGAACGAGAUGCUACCUGAGUUUGCAUCCGCGCCGGCAGUGCCCCCACGGAAAAUUUCCCGUAGUACGGCCUCUCUGCAACAGCAACAACAACAACAGCAGCAGCAGACCUUACUGCAGCAAACCCCCGGUACUUCGUCCAGUGGUUAUUCGUCAUCCAGCGGUAGCGGAAUGGGCAGCAUGAGGAAACCAAACAUCACGUCUCCGGCAGCUGUGAUACAAUCGCCCCUGAUUGGAGGGACGAUCUACAAUAAUACCGGUAGCAGUAGUAGUAGUGGAGGCAGUGGCAGCGGCUCCACCAGCGGUGAUAAUCGGGGGACGGCCAUGUUCCGAAUGGUCGGCGAUGUCGACACGCCAGCCGAUCUUAGGGCGGCCGAGUGGUACUGGGGCAAGAUCACUCGGGACGAGGUCAAGGAAAAGAUGACCGAUGCACAGGACGGUUCGUUCUUGGUGCGGGACGCCACCAGCGGAGGUGGCGAAUAUACGCUCACGCUGAAGAAGGACGGUACGGAUCGCGUCAUCAAAAUCUUCCACUCGAUGGGCAAAUAUGGCUUCACGAAAGAUUGCAGCCACAACAGUGUGGUGGACUUGAUCAAUUUUUACCGCAAUGUCUCACUGAAGGAGUACAACACGAUUCUGGACAUCAAGUUAACGUUCCCGAUCUCGCGAUUUGAAGACGACAACUACAUCUGCAGCGCAGGGGACGACACUCCCCGGUUAGCGCAGAAGUUUAUCGAAACGGCUCAGCUGUUGAACGAGAAGCUACAGGACCGGGUAAAACUGACGGAUGAGUACACUACGGCCAAGAAUCAAGUCGAUUUGAAGAAGCAAGCCCAGGAAGCGUUUAUCGAAGCGGAAAGACUUUUCCAAGAGCAGCUAACGAUACAGGCCAAGUUUGUGAACGAGGCACAGCCUCACGAGAAGCAAGGCAUCAAUACCAACAACAAGUUGAUACGGGACCGGAUGCAGGAGUUGAACCAGUGCAAAGAUCAACUCCAGGAAGAUAUGGAUAAGGAGAAAACUCGAAUCUGGAUGCUGGAGCGAGAAAUCAACAAGCUCAAUCCGAUAAUCAUGUCCCUGAGCAAAGAAAAGCUUGGCUACGUGGAGGAACUGAAACGGCAGGGUGUCAGCGAGGGUCAAAUCAAACAAAUGGAAACGGAUGGCUACUUUUCUCACAGUCACGGCAGCCAGGAAAUGCCUCACAAUGACGAGAGCUCCUGGCUGAAGCCGCACUUCAAUCGGACGGAAGCCGAGAGGGAGCUGGCACCCAAGCCAAACGGUACGUUCGUGAUACGAUCCGGCAGCGGGGGCCACUAUGCCCUGUCCAUCAAGUGCAACGAUACGGUCAAUCACUGUAUCAUCCAGCAAACGGAACGGGGCUUUGGAUUUGCGGAACCGUACAACAUUUACGAUUCGCUCAAGUCGUUGGUACUGCACUACGCUACCAACUCACUGGAGGAGCACAACGAUACCCUGCAGACGACACUCAAGUAUCCGCUGGAUGCCACCAGCAGCGGCAGCAAGCAGCAAUCAUCCACCUAGGCAAUCCCACCCAGCAGCUCUGUUGGGAGGCGUUAGUUUUCAUUCAGUGUCCAAUGUUUUCUCAAAUGCUGUCGCUUAAUUAGGAAGAAAAGGUAGGAAACGUUUUAAUUUGUCCCCGGAGUGGUGCUGCGCCGUGGCAGGGAAAGACAAACAAAUGGUAAGCGCACUUGUCUUUUUUAAAUAGAUAUUUAUUCCACGUGUUGGGUAUCGUCGUCUGUUACCGCCAUCUUUUACUAGCUAGGAAGUGUUACGAAAUAUAAAAGUGUUGAUUGGAAAAAUAUUCCGCAAGCAAAUCAGGUAGCAAAUUGUUGAAAAUGACACAAACUAACGCAUCAAGGCAGGUUUCUUCCUAGAACCAGAAUGGUUAGUAAUUCUUCCAGGAUAGUCCUAAACCCCUCCCCCCUUAUCACCCCCCCAACAUACACGUAGUCGCCGCACUCCCCCACCCAAAUCGAAACAAAAAGUGAUUAAAUGAAACAGGCGCGGUGUGUGUAGGUUAGGAAGGCAAUUGAGCUGCUGUAGGUGAGAUCGGUUACGGUAAGACACGGUGCCACAAAUCUGAUGCUACUGCUGCUGACGUCAGGGUUCUUCAAUCUAAGUUUGGCAUACCCCCCUUCCCCAUGUGGCGGAAAUUGUUCCGUUAUGAAAAGCAAUCUGCUAAACCACCCUGUCACUCUUUUGGUUUUUAAUAUAUUACAACUAUUGUUUAGUGACUGUGUACAUAUCAAACGUAGAGUCGAGAGAGGUUACGCGUGCGCGUGUUUGUUCGCUUAUUCGUUUGACAUGCUGGACGAAUAAGGGGAACUUCCGAGGUCCGGAUCACUCAGAUCCCUUAUGUUAAGGGACGGGAACGUCCGGGCGGGUAGUAUUCUAAAAUGAACGUUGCUUUUCAUGUGUUUUUGAAAACUAAAAAAAAAAACUAAUAUUGCUCAACUCCUUCAAGAAGGAGGUUGACGAGGGAGGUGCAAAACAUUCCACUGUAUAAUCUAGAAAGAGUAAGUAUAUGUAGGAGACCUUGAUUUCUUUAUUGGUUGAACUGUGAGCAACAGGCGGCUAUCCAUAAAGUAUCCCUCACCCAAUCGGCGUCCCCAAAAUUGGCUCUCAGCUCAGUCGAUAUUUUCCUGCAAUCAGGAACUACACAAGCACUGGCUGUUGGGGUCUUGAAUUUUAAUCCAUUCGGGUGAGAGGGACUCUAUACCAAAACCAUCGCCUGCAUGACAUCUGGCUCGUCGGAAGAGCUGGAGGAAGAGCAUGUGAGCGAGAGGCUGAUGGUAUUGGCGGAGUGUGUGUCAGCACCUGCUUGAAAAGCUGUGCUAUUUUCAUCAUGUCAGCGCGAGCUUCUGUACAGUUCGUGAGGAAUUAUGCCGUUGUAUCGGUUAGAGACUCUUAAUGUCCCGUAAUAGGCCCUUAUUACUCGUGUCAAAUAUAGAGUCAGUUCAAGCUGGUGGAACUUUGACUGAAGGAACACCAGUACAAGCAACUCUGAGUAGCUCGGAUGGGUUGAAUGAACGCUCGCAAGUUGUUGCAAUCUGUUUCGAGAUGAGCAAAGCUAUUGAGCUCAGAUAAAUUCGUUCUUUCAUAUCGACAGCCAGAGUUGCGACCUAUCACAAUCACGAUCGUCAAACAGCUGAUGGUAGUAAUGCUUGCUAUCGUUGUUCUUGUCGAAGAACUCUCCAUGACCAUCCAUCAAGUUGACGAAAGAAGUAAAAAGCAACUGGUGAAUGUCGUCUUCGGUGGUGAUCCAUCACCGAUCUGGUCAUUCCCGACAAUUCUGUGCUCGUUUUGAACCAGUUGCUGCUUUGCUUGCUUAUGUGAGUGUGUUGAUGAGUGAGCCCAACAGCUUCAUUUUCAAUAGGCAUUCAUUUUCUUCUGUCUUUUCGCUUUUUCUCAUCAUCGUACUGCAGAAGUCUUCACUGUUUUCGUUGUUCUUUUCAUCAUCAGCAUCGAAGCGAGUGUUACGUUCUGCCUGUGAGCAGCAACCAUUAUUGGUGAUUGUUGUUUGCCAUGGCUCUACCUCUCACUGCGUGGCAAAACGUUCUGUCAGCGAUAGUCGGUUGAUGCGUUGACGAGUGUCGCAUGAGUGUCAUGAUAUUUUGCAUUUGAUCAAAGUUUAUUCACGAAAGCUAUUAAUUUAAUCGCAUAGAGGGCCUUUUCCCCUACACGGCGUUUCCGGUGGUUUGCUUUAGAUAAUUUUCAUUUUCGGGAAAUCACUCCACCCCACCUAUUCUGCGAGUAGUGUGAUUCUUUGUCAAUAGUGAACAGACAAGUCACGUCGUGUGAGAUGACACUCCGUGCAAAUGCACAAUUGAGAGUCACCUCAUUAGCGACAGAGGGUCACAUGACUAGAAUAGGGGGGAGACUGUCGAAUUUAAUUAUUACUUUACUUAAUUACAUUACAGUUGUGUUCAAAUGGCUGUAGAAAAAAGGCCCUUUUGGAGUUUCUAAAUUGUCGAUCUAAAACAGCAGAAAAAUCCUCAAACAAGGGCUCUAAUACACUCUUGUCAGAACCUUCCCAGGAAGCUCAAAACUACACUGACAAAAGUUGCCAUUGAGAACGCACAUGAUAUUUUUCCAAUAAAAAAAAUAAUGAUUUUUAUCUGAAAUGGACAUAAAAUUUAUAUGAUCACGUGAAAUCUAUGUGAUGAAUCAUUGGGUUCAUGUGCUUUUAUGGUGAGAUUCCCAAUAAUGAGAUCAUAUGAAAAUUAUGUGAAAUUCUGAUUUCCAUUGAAAAUUGUGAGUGCAGAGUCUGGGUGGGAAUACUCCGUUUGACAUAAUGCCCACGGGACAUAACUGCCAUUUGGCAUAAACUUGAAAUAAAUGCAUUUUAUUGCUUUUAUCGAACAUGAAUAUGUGUUCUUAAAUAUUAACGGCUCUUUUAACAUGAGGUACUUACCGAAGAACUAUUUAUCGGUAUAAGUUUUCCAUAUUUAUGCCAAAUGUGCAUUAUACCAAAUCUAGUUGGGAAGGCUCACAGUAGUUACCGAAGGUCUCCAAAGAUCUGAUAGGCGAUUUGAAAGGAUUUCAAGUUUGGGACCUCCCCUAUAAAAUUAAUUGGUGGCUUAGAAACAUCCAGAGAGUCAGGAAACUGACUACAAGGGUCGAUUUCUUCACCUGCGUAUUUAAUCAACUUAAGCGCAGGCUAGGAAACCAGCCCUUAGUAUCUGCUCCAAAUGAUGUUACGAACUCAUUUGGGAGGUCUUUUCAGAUGUGUGUGGAAGUUCUUCUAUAAAAGAAAACUCCGGCAACUCUUUUUAAUAAAAAUAGUAGCCUAAUUACUUUGGAAUGGUUCAAUACAAGGACUUAACGAUUUAGUUAUGCGAGAGCUCGUGAAGAAAGGUGCCUUAGACAGCCUCUUUUCCUUUUAAAGACCCUAGAACAUCCUCAGUAAGAUCCAUUCCCUUCUGAUACUAUUUGGCUUCGGAAAGACUUUUUGAACUAGACCAUCUCCAAAGAUAUCUAACAUUUGAAAGAUGUAUCUAGAACCACUGAAAAAGAUCCUAGGGUCCUUACCUAGAAUGUCAUACGUGGGCUGGUUAGUCUCUGAAGCCUCCGGAAGCGAACGUCCCCUACUUACAGAGUUUUGAAUGGGGUGGGGGGGCUUCAGAAGGAAUUUCCCUUUGCUACAGAGUUUAGGAUGGAGCCUCAGAAUAGAGCUACCCUAAUUACAGAGUUUGGAAUAUGGUGGGAGUUGCAAACUCAUUCCGCAGACUUUCUCUUCGAGAUUCAAUAUCGCUCCACCCAUUCUCCCUGGGAUAUAAACCUUGGUUCAAAAACUUUUGUCCAACCCUAAAUGUCCACCAGCAGCAGCAGCAGCAACAACAGCAGCAGGUUGUGGUUAUUGUGCCACGACAAAAACCGGCCGCGAAUCGAGCUCCGAAAAACGCGAACGAUGUUUAGAGGGAACAUUUCAAGGUUAGGUUCUUUGAGGAACGCAACUGAUGAAGCUAAACUUCCAGUAUAAUAUAGGGGAGGAAAUUUUUGCUAGGUUUGAGCGAUGGACAAUGGAAACGAGUUGACCCGGUGGUCGUGCGUAUCUGUUUACAGGGAAGAAGACAAAUAAGGACAAAGGGAACAGGAUUGAUUGGUUAGGAGAACGGCCUCCCCAAAGCACAACAGACACAGAUAGAGACAGGCAGGGCAGGAGUCACACCCCUUACCUUCAGACAGAUUUAGAAACAAACAGGUCCCAGUUUGACAAGAGAAAGAGAGACGAUGCGUCUCGGUGAGAAUAAGCAAAGAUCUUACGUCUUUUUUAUUAGUUUUUGUGGACAGUUCUCGAUUAUAAAAAUGCAUGUUUGCAAUUUGUAUAAAUUUAUAUAAUUAUUAUCUAUUGUUUAAGGAAUGUGGAAUGAAUGGUCGUGUGAAUGGGUCGGAUCGGAGUGGAAGCGGUUGUUGUGCGGGAACGUCUCUGAGAGAGUUUGAGUUUUGUUUGAUAGUUUUUCGUUUUUAAAAAUUGCGUACCAAGUUAAGGCAGGAAAUAUACCCCUUUUUUCUUCGUGUGCAGAAGCCGUGCGGCAAAGGAUUUGGUUCUCUGCCCACGAGCGCUAUAUCUACACCCAUUAUACAUACAACAUUAUAGGAGAUAUACAAAAAAGGAACAAGCAUUACUACGUAGGAGUUAUAUCAAUUGAUUUAAUCAUUUUAAACUGUGUUAAUAAUUGUAAUUUGAAAGAAAGGAAAGAAACAACUCUAAACAAAAAACAACAAAACAAAAGGAAAGUCCUGUGAAAACAAUGAUGAAAACAUCGUAAAAUCAAAAAAAACAUAAAUGUGAAGAAACACACAAAUAAGCCCGAAAGCCAGACGGAGAGAGCAAAAAAAUUAAUAUAUUUCUGGAAAGAGACUAAGCGAAUGUGAAAAACAAAGUAAAUUAGUAAUCAAAAAACAAAAGAGUUUUAAUUUUAAAAAUUACUUAUAACAAUAAAGAUAUAAAAAAACUAUAUUAAAACAGCAACAACCGUAGAUGAGAGAAAAACCCUACGAGAGGAAGAAAAACAACAAAAAAAUGUUUGUAAACAUGUAAGUUAAUAGGAAUACAAAUAACAAAUUGGAAGAGUUACACUGCAGAGAGCAGGAAAGGAAAGCGCGAAAACAAAACAAACAAGAAAACAAAGUGGUACGGAACGGAAGGGAAGUUUGAAACGCAACACAAUUGCAGAUAUAUAUUCUUUUCUUGGUGUAUGUGUGGUCAGGAAUAGAGAUCGAAAGUAAAACUGACGAACGAGAAAGAAACGAACACAGGCUAAGGCAAACCGUCGUGGUCCACAUUUUCAUCGUACUUUUAGUAGAGAAGACAUUUGAAAUUAACCGAAUUUGUUGUAGUGAGCAAUCAAUUGGAAAUCAGAAACUAGCCGCAGCAGAAAAUUAGGAAACGAAAAACAAAAAUCACCAUCGCCGUCAUCACGGGAAGCAGGCAUAGGUACACUAAAAGCAAUUUGUUCGUGGUGCAAUCGGAAUUCCCACCUGAAGCAGUUGAAGAAGCAUGAGUGGAAAAUCACUAGAAAAAAAACCCCCUUCAACAAACCACCAAGUCAACCAACGAACAACAUUUUCUCACUGGAAAAUUAACAUCCGUGCCGGUUCAAACAAAACUGGAAUGCAUCCAAAAGGAAAGGUAGCAAUUUUUGGUCGUUGAAUCCUCUUCGUUCUCUCAAGGUAAACACUCGUAUUUCUGUUUUCGUUCGAACCGUUUUUUUCCAUACAAAUAAGAAAAAAUGUAUGCAAAAUACGAUUCGAACGAAAACAAUAAUAUCUCGAUUGCUUUUUUGAAGUGACGUAUCAGCUUUUGUAAACAAUGCAUUUGUUCGUCGGUUUGGCGUAACUGGUAGCUCGUCCACGCAUACUAACAACAACUAUCAGGUAGGGGAAAAUUUCCCCUAUCUGAUGGUAGUGUUAGCAUGCGUGGGCGAACUAUCAGCUACGACAAACUGACGAUCAAAUGCAUUGUUUAAAAAGCUGAUACGUCCCUUCGAAAAAGUAAUCGAGAUAUGGGUGAAAAUUAGAUUUUGUUUUACAAUUGAGGAAAACUCUCACAGUUGAAUAACAUUUGGAUAUUUCUGUCGUAUCGUUCGUCACGGUUCACUAUCCUGAUUUUGAUGUCUGUGUAAGGGAAAUUUUCUCAGUCAGCCGGCACUACUAAUUAAAUAAAUACAAUGUUACCCAUAAAUGCAUACAUGAGUAAAAUAUUUUCGUUUGUGAGUCAUAGUUACUCAUAUAUCGUAAUCGCUAUCUAGGAACAACUUCUAAACGUUAAGUUCACAAAUAUCAGCUUCUACGACACGUGCAACAUUCAAAUUGUUACUCCACGUUUGCUGCACUGCAGCAUAGGGUAGAGCGCUACUUCGUCGUAAUCGCCCAUUUCCGUUCUAUCGAUCAGAAAAGAUCAAUAAUAUCAAUGAUUUCAACGUGCACAAAUCAAUUAUAGGUUUGUUCCGAUGCGCUAGAUCAUUAGCUACAACAUAAAUCCUGUUAGAGCGCAUUGCAUGAAUAUUUACGCUCAUUGUUCUCAAAACAAAAGAAGCGCUCCUAGCGAAUCCCCUUUUUCUACGUUUAUCCGUAGGACGAAGAAAAUCUAAUGGCGUUUCAAUGCGUUAGGACGGAAUUGAAACUCGUAGAACGAAUUUAGAAUCAAGAAGCAGUGUUAGAUUUUAGACAAUAUCUCAACAAUUUGUGACUCGUUAUCAAAUCCAACGGUACGUAUGGAAAGGUGAAUAAAUUUGCAAGUCAUAUUUGACAGAAAUAUUACAUUUUUUGUUUAAACUCGUUCAGCAAAGAGAGGUAAGGCGCGGGUUGUGCUUAGUAGGACGGAAAUUAGAUCAAAAACCCUACAUGAAGUAACAAUUUCAGGUGAAAUUGGGCACCGAUUUCCGAGAUUUGUGUAAUUGAAAAUUCGAAGAGGAAGUGCAUGUACAGCCUACGUAGCGGUCAUUUGUAGACUCUAGAAGGAAUCACUAUAAAUGGCUAAACGAAUUACUCAUUUAAUGAGGAGUCUAAUUUUUCCUCGAAAAUGUACACUUAAUAGUCAUUUAUAGAUAAUUUUGCGGGUAAUUAUCCGCGGGAAAUGUUCUGCUCUAGAAUUGUUCUGUAGUGUGCCAUGGAUGCACUUUAAAAGGGCAUACGUCCACCGUAGUUGUUGGGAACGAAACUAUUGCUUACGUUCAGAAUCAUAAGAGCCUAACUAGAGAUGUGCAAUCUGAUCCGGAUCGGUAUGGAGAGUGAAUGAUUCAUGGCUCAUUUUUUACAAGAACCGGAUGAUCGGUUCACUAGAGCUCAACAAACUUUUUCUCCGAGUGCUUAGGGGAAAGUGGGGCAGUUUGGCAACCUUAAGAAAAUCAUCACUAAUCAUAUAAAAUUCAGUGGAAUAUUCGAAUGAUGUUCAAACAAAUGGAUAGAGUACUGCCUAUUUAAGGCUAUAUUUUUUUAGUCUUGCGAAUGACUGAUUUGUUUUAACCAAAGCAGCUGUUUCAAAACGUUAUGUAAUAUACCACAGAACAGAAGGGCAAGUGCAAACAAAUCAGUGAAUCACGAAGUGGUUCGUUCUGCUGCUCAACAAACGAUGCGUUGUGGUAGCGUUCCACACGGGCUUUCUAUGUGCCCUCACACUAUCAUAGCAUUCUGCCCAUCUUAACUGCAGGCAGAAGAUGCUUUCUACCGCUAGGUGCGCUAGUGUUCGUCAAUGAAGAGUUGAGCCACUUUCUGAUCCGAAGUUCCACUUCUGUUCUGUGAUGAUACGGUAAUAUUUAUUAAAGGAAUGCCUAAUGCAAAAUUGAAGUAUUUAAGAAAUAUCAGUGGUGUUCAUAUUGCCUCGAAUGAACUUAAGUAAAAUUUUGUUAUUAAAAUCU